rnacentral:rRNA from 1 species
CCUACGGGAGGCAGCAGUGAGGAAUAUUGGUCAAUGGACGCAAGUCUGAACCAGCCAUGCCGCGUGCAGGAAGACGGCUCUAUGAGUUGUAAACUGCUUUUGUACGAGGGUAAAUGCAGAUACGUGUAUCUGUCUGCAAGUAUCGCACGAAUAAGGAUCGGCUAACUCCGUGUCAGCAGCCGCGGUAAUACGGAGGAUUCAAGCGUUAUCCGGAUUUAUUGGGUGUAAAGGGUGCGUAGGCGGUCGGGUAAGUUAGAGGUGAAAUCUCGAGGCUCAACUUCGGAAUUGCCUCUGAUACUGUGCGGCUGGAGAGUAGUUGCGGUAGGCGGAAUGCAUGGUGUAGCGGUGAAAUGCGUAGAGAUCAUACAGAACACCGAUUGCGAAGGCAGCUUACCGAGCUACUUCUGACGUUGAGGCACGAAAGCGUGGGGAGCAAACAGGAUUAGAUACCCGAGUAGUC